rnacentral:tRNA from 1 species
ACCCUGGUAGCUCAGACGGUAAAGUGUCUGCCUACAAUGCAGGAGACCCAGGUUCAAUCCCUGGGUCGGGAA